rnacentral:piRNA from 1 species
UUGUACAGUUACUCCGAAAUA